AAAAGUUAGUUUAAAUAAAACAUUAAUUUGUCAAAUUAAAAAUAUUAUAAAUUAAUACUUUUUA
rnacentral:tRNA from 1 species